rfam:Leersia perrieri chromosome 9, whole genome shotgun sequence.
AGGACAAGAGCCGCUCAGGCUAGCCAAGGAGACUGCCUGCGAGAUCACAUGCAGAAGCAGAAAUUCAUCAGUACAUCCACUGCAUAAGCAGAGAAUCUGAUGAAGAACUCUCCUACUGCAGUCUGCAGGAAUGAGGCCACAGGCAAGUCAUCCUUGGCUACCAGAUGCGAGCUCUCAUCA